CAGCACCUCAAGUGGUCAGGAUGAUUAUUGGGCCUAAAGCAUCCGUAGCCGGCGCUGUAAGUUUUCGGUUAAAUCUGUACGCUCAACGUACAGGCUGCCGGGAAUGCUGCAGAGCUAGGGAGUGGGAGAGGUAGACGGUACUCGGUAGGAAGGGGUAAAAUCCUUUGAUCUAUUGAUGACCACCUGUGGCGAAGGCGGUCUACCAGAACACGUCCGACGGUGAGGGAUGAAAGCUGGGGGAGCAAACCGGAUUAGAUACCCGAGUAGUCC
rnacentral:rRNA from 1 species